rfam:Myotis brandtii contig243009, whole genome shotgun sequence.
GGAUGUGAGAGCAACCUGGCUGCAAAAUCUGUUACCCCAUUGAUCGCCAGGGUUGAUUCGGCUGAUCUGGCUUGGCUAGGCAGGUGCCCCCCUCCUCUCUUACGGACCCAUGUGAAUCCCUCCCCAAGCUGCAUGCUCAGUGGAAGAUGAUGACCUUCUGCCCAGAGGAGAGGACUAGUCUUCAGUCAAGGGUAAAAGAGUAGCUGCUGAGCUCCCCUGCUAGAAUCUCCAAACAAGCUCUCAGAGAAGUUGACUAGUUUCACUCACUUGUCAAGAAUUUUGUAGAAAACUUUAUUACUGUAAUUGCCCUCAGCUUAUUCACU